rnacentral:rRNA from 1 species
GCCAAUACUGACACUGAGGAGCGAAAGUCUGGGGAGCGAACAGGAUUAGAUACCCUGGUAGUCCAGACCGUAAACGGUGGGCACUAGUUGUGGGAACCUUCCACGGUUUCUGCGACGCAGCUAACGCAUUAAGUGCCCCGCCUGGGGAGUACGAUCGCAAGAUUAAAACUCAAAGGAAUUGACGGGGCCCCGCACAAGCAGCGGAGCAUGCGGCUUAAUUCGACGCAACGCGAAGAACCUUACCAAGGCUUGACAUAUAGGGAAAAGUGGCAGAGAUGUCAUGUCCGCAAGGGCUCUAUACAGGUGGUGCAUGGUUGUCGUCAGCUCGUGUCGUGAGAUGUUGGGUUAAGUCCCGCAACGAGCGCAACCCUCGUUCUGUGUUGCCAGCAUUUAGUUGGGGACUCACAGGAGACUGCCGGGGUUAACUCGGAGGAAGGUGGGGAUGACGUCAAAUCAUCAUGCCCCUUAUGUCUUGGGCUGCACGCAUGCUACAAUGGCCGGUACAGAGGGCUGCAAUACCGUAAGGUGGAGCGAAUCCCAAAAAGCCGGUCUCAGUUCGGAUUGAGGUCUGCAACUCGACCUCAUGAAGUUGGAGUUGCUAGUAAUCGUAGAUCAGCAUCGCUACGGUGAAUACGUUCCCGGGGCUUGUAUACACCGCCCGUCACGUCACGAAAGUCGGUAACACCCAAAGUCAGUGGCCCAACC